ensembl:lncRNA
CAAGAAGCAGACGGCCGAGUUUAUUAAACUCCACCGAGACAGCGGUGACGCUAAUCAGAAGACUAGACCGUCCAAUUUCACGCCUUUAAAUUUUAAAGGCGUGUUUGUGUGUGUUUUUAUACAAUUGCUAUUAUGUUUGCACUUUAUGUGUAAUUUUACUGACUGCAGAGAUCAGUAAGAUGUGUGUAUUUUUUAUUUAUUAGUUUUAUUUAUUUAAUAUUAUUUUUUAAUUGAAUGACUGUCUAGUAGUUCACAGAUGUCGAAAAACUGAGUGUGGUAAAGCCACUGAUUUUGUUUAUGUAUAUUUCUGUAAUCUGCACAUUGUACUGACUUUCAUUUUAAUGUUUACACCAGGGUUCCUUGUCAGCAAUUUAUGCUCAGAUGUUUGUAAGCUAAAAAUAAACUAUUGUGUAUGUUCAAAUAUACUGUUGUGAUUGAAGAAGUUAAAUAAAAAUGUCAGUCAUCAAUUCAUGCAUCACCUCAUGUCAUCAUAACAGAGGUCUGUCUUCCAGGAAAGAACAGUUUAAAAUUAAUGUAAUAUAGUAUUGGCCAUACUAUAUGAUGUAUUGCUUGUCUUUGUUUAAUAAUACAGAAGACAAAGACCUUAAAAAAUAAUCGCAUAUCGCAUCGCAAUCGCAAUAUUGGGGCAAAAAAUCGCAAUUAGAUUAUUUUCCAUAAUCGUUCAGCCCUAAUUCCAACUGUAAGUGGUGUUAUUGCAAACCACAGCAACCACAACCUUGCAGACCACAUAAAGCUAAGUCACCACUGCUUUCCUCACUCAGUAACUGCAGUAACUGCCUCAAUAGAUGUUAGCAUCACCAUAAGAACUGUGCACCCAGAACAUCAAGGCCAAGUAUCUCCUGCUGGUGUAAAGGUGGCACACUACUUUUAUCACUGCAUUGUAAGAACUGUACAGUUUUGUUUUUGUACAGUUUCUGAUUUUAAAUCAAUGCUGGUGCAAGUUUAAUGUCCAGGAUGAAAAACAAAAAAAACAAACCCUAUUUUAGGCCAAAUUCUGGAAACUAAAGUCUACCGAUACAGUUUGGUAGGUCACAAGUUCACAUUCCAGCUUGUCAUCCAAAUAUGGUCACUUGUGUCAUCAGCAAAACCCCAAAUUACUAAUGUAAAAAAAAAAGUUCAAAACAGAGCUUCACAAAUCAGCACGCUUUGUUGUAGUGACUAUGUUAAUUUAUUAUACAAAGUCUUUCAUGUUGCCCUAGAUAUGUCCUGCAGUGUGUGUGUCUGCAUAUGUUUUGGUGCAUUUAGCUAUAAAAAUACAUUUCUGCAUUAUUUCCCUAGUCAAGUAACCCUAACAUGUUAAAUGGUUGUCUCUAAGCUCUCUCCAUUAUAGAUAGCUGUGGUAAAAUAUAAAUGACUGGGUUGAGUGGCUUCUCCCAGCGUAGUAUGCUGAGCUAUGUUGAGUGUGGAGGGGGUCAAAAGGCUGGGAGAACUGACGUUUUGCAGAGGUUGUGAAGGAAAACCCACAAAUAUGAUAAGUC